rnacentral:rRNA from 1 species
GAACGCGAAGAACCUUACCCGGGCUUGAAUUGCAGAGGAAGGAUUUAGAGAUAAUGACGCCUUCGGGGUCUCUGUGAAGGUGCUGCAUGGUUGUCGUCAGCUCGUGCCGUGAGGUGUCGGCUUAAGUGCCAUAACGAGCGCAACCCCUGUCUUUAGUUGCCAUCAGGUUAAGCUGGGCACUCUGGAGAUACUGCCACCGUAAGGUGUGAGGAAGGUGGGGAUGACGUCAAAUCAGCACGGCCCUUACGUCCGGGGCUACACACGUGUUACAAUGGCCGGUACAGAGGGACGGUGUAAUGUAAAUUGCAUCCAAUCUUGAAAGCCGGUCCCAGUUCGGACUGGGGUCUGCAACCCGACCCCACGAAGCUGGAUUCGCUAGUAAUCGCGCAUCAGCCAUGGCGCGGUGAAUACGUUCCCGGGUCUUGUACACACC